rnacentral:rRNA from 1 species
CACGUAGGGGGCAAGCGUUGUCCGGAUUUAUUGGGCGUAAAGAGCUCGUAGGUGGUUCGGUAAGUCGGGUGUGAAACCUCCAGGCUCAACCUGGAGACGCCACCCGAUACUGCUGUGACUGGAGUCCGGUAGGGGAGCGUGGAAUUCCUGGUGUAGCGGUAGAAAUGCGCAGAUAUCAGGAGGAACACCAGCGGCGAAGGCGGCGCUCUGGGCCGGUACUGACACUGAGGAGCGAAAGCGUGGGUAGCAAACAGG